AGAGCGAACGCUGGCGGCAGGCCUAACACAUGCAAGUCGAGCGCCGUAGCAAUACGGAGCGGCAGACGGGAGAGUAACACGUGGGAACGUACCCUUUGGUUCGGAACAACCCAGGGAAACUUGGGCUAAUACCGAAUAAGCCCUUACGGGGAAAGAUUUAUCGCCGAAGGAUCGGCCCGCGUCUGAUUAGCUAGUUGGUGGGGUAACGGCCCACCAAGGCGACGAUCAGUAGCUGGUCUGAGAGGAUGAUCAGCCUCAUUGGGACUGAGACACGGCCCAAACUCCUACGGGAGGCAGCAGUGGGGAAUAUUGGACAAUGGGCGCAAGCCUGAUCCAGCCAUGCCGCGUGGGUGAUGAAGGCCCUAGGGUUGUAAAGCCCUUUCGGCGGGGAAGAUAAUGACGGUACCCGCAGAAGAAGCCCCGGCUAACUUCGUGCCAGCAGCGC
rnacentral:rRNA from 1 species